GGGGUUUGAAAGUGUUUUGAGAAUGUAAUGACGAAGUUAACAAUAAAAAUUAAACACAACCGAAUUUAAUUUAAAACAUUAAAGUGCAUGAAAAUAUUAAACUGAACAAUGCAACAUAUAAAUAUCUAAACACAAUUAAAAUUAUAAAAAUGAAAUGCUUAAAUUAAAACAUUAAGUUCACAGUGCAACAAUUAAGCUUUAACGCUAAAGGAUGUUAAUUAAUUGCUAAAAACCAAGAUGACUAAAUUCUCGUGAUUUACCAUACACUUCUGUCUUCCAAGCCGCCACCAAAAUAAUGGGAAACAUGUCCCUCUUCCAGCAGCGUGACGAUGCUAUCUCCAAGCAGUGAAUUUAAGUUCACUUUCUCCAAACAUGAGUAACCGUGCACUGUCUCUUGUAGCAAAAUGCCAAAAUUAAAUGUAACUUCAAUUGAAAUGAAAAACACAUAACCAAAUUCUCUCCUCCCAUCAUUAAAAAAUUGUUGCAACCAACCUGUAUUCCCUAAGAUAGUAAAAUAAAUAAAUCACACAAUGAUAAAAGGACUCACAUCCACGGACCCACACUCACCUAAUCUAACUCUCAUAUUAUGAAAACAAAAUAAAAAAAAAAUGCUAAAUUCCUCCCAGAACCCUCUGCACACAGGCCGUGGCACACCAACUAAUCAAGCCAUCACUUCUUCAUUCUAAGGGAAAUAAAGGAAAAGAACCUAACCAAAAUUCACCUACCCACACGUCCCAUCACCUCCUAAACUCCAACCUAAUAUACUCCUCAUUCAUAAAAAAAAAACAAAAGAAAAAGGCAAUUAGCAAUUCCCCUGCUGGAUGUAGCGUACAACUCAUCAUUCUAAUCAUCAAAGAAAAAACCAAGAACAAGUGUGUAUAUCUCUGCAGCCAGAAAAAUGUUCCAG
rnacentral:lncRNA from 1 species